GGCGUUGGCUCAGUGGUAGAGAGCUUGCCUUGCAUGCAUGAGGCCCUGGGUUCUAUUCCUUGGCACCA
rfam:Dipodomys ordii contig_46503, whole genome shotgun sequence.